rnacentral:rRNA from 1 species
CCACACGGCUACAUCACUUUGAAUACACCGGUUCUCGUCCGAUUACCGAAGUUGAACAACGUCGAGCAUAGUGAGUACUUAGAUGGGUGACCGAUUGGGAAACCUAGGUGCUGUAAGCA